GUUCCUAUUGGCUACCACCAGCGGUGGUUUUUCGGACCACAGGGCUUGGUGUUUAAAUCCAAGUAGGAACUAG
rnacentral:tRNA from 1 species